UGUGUUUAUUCUUUCAGGUUUGCUGUUAAGACCUUCUUUAACACCCCGAUGCCCCCAGCGCUGUCUUACUCCCAUAGUUGCAUGGCUACACAGCCCUUUUCCUUCGCCCAGGCAGACUGGGGCUGCCCCUAUCCCAUGCCGGCGGUACGUGGAAGUGCACAUACAGAUGUGCGUUGUGUGCUCUCACGCGCUUCUAAAGCCUUAAGACUCUUGCUUAUACGUAUGUCUCUCUUACAUGUGACCGAAGCCCCGCAGCGCCAACGGCAGGACCUUUCUCGGAAGGACGGUCUGGCUCUCCUGGCAGUUGCACCCCGUGGCAGAACUGCGCUGAUCCCUUCCAGUCUGGCACGACGUUUGCUCCAGGUAUGACUCAGUUGAGCCUGGAACAGGAGGACAAGCACAUAGCGCUCAAGCUAAGCAGGCUGGAUUACUCGCAGCAUUUCCUUCCCUCGCUCCUCUCAGCAUCCUCCUGGAAAUACGGAUUUACAAGAAAAAAAACUGCAAUUUAAUUUAGUUUCAGAAAAAAAUAAUCUUAGUGGUAUGGCUAAUCCCAAGCCCUUACUAGCCUCUGAUUUUUUGCAGACUCAGGCAGAUGUAUUUUUUCUUCCUCUUCCAGACUAGGAGGUAGAGGGCCACAGUUGCAAAGUCAUCUAAACUCGGAACAGCCUGUGCUGCAGUCAGCAUCAUGCUGCAGCAACGGACGAGGUUUUGCAAGAUCAGAACCACCCCCAGUUUUGCCCCCUAUCUCCCGUUAUGCCCUAAAAAACCAGUAUUGAAGGUUAUUAUGGUGAAUUUGCAAUUCCCAUGUGUCAGCACAGCCCUUGCCUGCCGUGAGAGGCGCUUCUCUGCGUGUCAAGGACACUGUCCUGCUUGAUGGGAGUCCCCUUCGUCAUAAGUGAUUUGCAGCAAGGCGGUUUCAUUUCUGGGCCCUGCAGAGCCGUGUCCCUGGGGGCUGCUCGGAGGUGCCUGGGAGUGAUCCGCGCUGCCGCAGCGGCUGCAGCGGCCCUCAGACGACCGCUCGCAUCCAGCUCAGCUGCAGACGUGCUUAGUGGGGAUCAGUGCAGCUUACAGGCUGGCACAGCCGCCUUGCGAAGAAGGGGCAGCCACCCCUUUACUGCGGACAGUCCCAUACAAAUGAGUGGAAAAAGAGACAAGUGUACAGGCAGUAUUUUCUC
rnacentral:lncRNA from 1 species